rnacentral:rRNA from 1 species
AGAACGCAGCGAAAUGCGAUAAGUAAUGUGAAUUGCAGAAUUCAGUGAAUCAUCGAAUCUUUGAACGCACAUUGCGCCCUUUGGUAUUCCUUAGGGCAUGCCUGUUCGAGCGUCACUAAAAACCCCCUCACAGAUAAUGUGGUAUUGGUAGAAGUGAACGGUACUUACAUUACCUUGUCUCACUCUGCUGAAAUGAAUAGGCCAGAGAAGUGGACCCAUGGUAAUUGACUCCAGGAGUGUUUUUCAAUGCUAAACUAGUCUUUACCCAAGUCAAAUUCUGAGCUACCGGACCCCCCAUUAAGUCCAAAACAGAGUGGUUGACCUCGGAUCAGGUAGGGAUACCCGCUGAACUUAAGCAUAUCAAUAAGCGGAGGA